UCACUUCUGCCUUUAAGAUAUCAGGAUUACAGUUACUCCAUGUCCUUUCCAGAGCUUGUUAUUAUUACACUCUCUCAUUUUUUCCCUGCCAGUCUAGUUUAGUGGUGUUUUAUUGGAAUUUUAAGUUGCUGAUUUUCAGUGGUGACUAAUGAUAUUGAACACAUUUCCAUGUGCUUCUUGGCCAUAGAAUCUGUUUUUGAAGGGGUCUUUACAUUGAAAAUCAAUUUCAGAUAAUUCACCAUGUAAAUAUACAUUGAGUACAGUAGUAGUUAGGCCUUCUUAAUAUUUAGUUUGCUCCUCUAAAUUAAGGUGUUAUUGUCAAAUUGUUAGUAUUUUUGUGGGUCUAUUUUUAUAUUAAAGAUUUGAAAAAUUAAGUCCUAUUAUGUAAUUAUAUAUGAACAUUAAUAACUUCUGAACAUUUAAACAUUUUAAAGAAUAAGGAUGAGUUCCCUUGUGGCUCAGCAGGUUAAGGAACCAGUGUUAUCACUGCAGGUUACUGCAUUGUCAUUACAGGUUCUGGUUACUUCAGUGAUGCAGGUUUGAUCCCUGCCUGGGAACUUGCAUGCCAUAGGUGUGGCAAAAAAAAAGAACAAGGAGAAAAUAAUUUUCCUCUAUUGUUGAUAGGUAAAUAAUUUUGACUGUAUUUGGGCAUCUGUUAAAACUUUUUAAAGAAUUCACUUGAUACUACUUAUUAAGAAGUUAUGCCAAGUAGCAUACAUGUGCUUCUGAAUGAUAAAAAUGAAAAAGGUAUGCACGUUUUCUUGUCAGCAAAUGGGCUUCAUUGUGUUUGGCUAAUUAUCUAAGUAUCUCUGAAAAUGGAGUUGUCUCCAGCUGGCUGUAAUUAGGAUUGGAUUGUUUCAUGCAUCAGAGACAGUAAAGUUGGUUUAAUUCAUGAGUCCCACAGCUUUCUAGUUAUUCUUAUUUCUGCAACUUCAAAGUGCUUAUCUAUUUCUCACAAAAAUAUUUGAAUGAGCUUAGACAAAAAUGUAUAACCAAGUUGCCAUUAUUAUUAGCUGCUGUUUUUACUCUCAGAUAUUGAGGUAUAGGGAUGAAGGAUGGCUCAGAAACCUAGUAAUAGCCUAGAAAAUUGUCCUUUGAAAAGAAAUGCGUUGAAAUAAGUAUGUUAAAGGAGCCCAGGAGGUACAAUAAAAUGUGAUAGGAACACUCUUUUUAUGACAUUUGAAAUUAUAUUUGUCAUUGUAAGAGCUUAGCAUUUGGGGAGUUCCCAUCAUGGCUCAGCGGUAAUGAACCUGAUUAGUAUCCAUGAGGAUGUGGAUUUGAUGUCUGCCCUUGCUCAGUGGGUUAAGGAUCCUGUGUUGCCGUGAGCUGUGAUGUAGGUCGCAGACAGGGCUCCAAUCUGGUGUUGCUGUGGCUGUGGUGUAGGCUGAAGGAUGUAGCUCCAAUUCGAGCCGUAGCCUGGGAACUUCCACAUGCUGCUAUGUAGCUGUAAAAAGACCCCCCCCCAAAAAAAAAAAAUUAGCAUUUGAAAAUAUGUCCUAUUUUACUUGAUCUCUUCUAAUGCCAUUUUUUGUUUGCCUACUCAUAAGUGUAUUUAGAAUAUCUAACGCUUACUAUUUGCUGUUUGUCUUUCAUGGUGCUAGUCUCUUCUUACAUUAUCUCUAAUCCUUACCAUAAUCUUGUGAACCCAAUUUACAGAUGAAACUAGGGCUCAGAAAUUUGUUUCUUGCGUAAGAUCAUAGACCACAGUAAGUGGUGAUUUGAAUUCCAGUUUGCCUAAUCCUAAAGCCUGUAGUUUUCCUACUAUACCAGUGGUUCCCACCCCAGUCUAAUUAAAAUGGAAUUUCUAGGAUUAGAUUUUAGUAUGUUUGAGCAUCUCCUCCAGAUUAGUAAUGUGCAUCUAGGGUUAGAACCCAUUGGAUAACACCCUAUGCUUACUAUUAUGAGACCAUAUUUUAAUAGAAGGGAAAGUAUAUUUUUUAAAAAAACCAUUUUUCCUUUAAAAGUGUGUACAAUAUUGUCCAUUUAUCUCUGCCAAAAUAUAUCUAUUUGAAAUUUUCAGUGCAAGGUGAUACACCAAGAACAUAUUGAAGCCUCCCUUUGCUACUUCUCAUUCAAAAUCAUCCUCCCCCAAAUAUAUAGUACCAAUUAAGCACAACUGAAAGGGAGGGGAAAAAAGAGCAAAAUUGGCCAAAACCCAUGAAAACCCCUUGAAAAUGGGAUUGAAAUACAGAUGAGAACCAUAAUCUAAAACAUGCACAGAGGUGGAGUGCAUGUGACUAUUGGGUGACUUUAGAUGCUUUAUGUCUAGCCUGCUGGACAGGCAAACAUGAAUCUGCCUCUCCCUGCCUUCAUUUCUCCUUGGUGUAUAUAAUGCAAAAACCAGGCAGUCAGGGUGCUUUAAAAGCCGAGGCAAUUCCCCAGUGUUGUCAAUAUCCAGAAAAGAUGGGGGUUCCCCUCCUCCAACACUUACUAUCCAUGUUCACUAGAAGUAGAAAAUUUUCCCCUUCUCC
ensembl:lncRNA